AAGUGAAAAUGAUAAAAAAGUAAAAAGGAAGAAGAUGUAAAAGCCAAAGGUCACUGCAUCUUAAAAUCAGGGACUGAUACUUUUUGAACAAUGAAAACACACUUGAUGAACCUCGCAGAUGAAAUAGGAAAAAACACAAACAGCUUCCUAAUUGGAGUUCACUGGCCUUUGUAGCACUGUAACACUAGGGAGCACACUUUCAUCAGGAAUUAUACUGCUUGUAGGAUCUACAGAGAAUUGGAGUUCGAAGUCAGUUCAGCAAAUCCGCAAUUUGGCAGCAGGCCAGCCCCUGCCCUGCUAUACA
rnacentral:lncRNA from 1 species